rnacentral:rRNA from 1 species
GAAAGGCUGACGCAGCGACGCCGCGUGGAGGAUGAAGUCCGAUAGGAUGUAAACUCCUUUUGUAGGGGAUGAAUACUCCGCUAUAUGCGGAGAUGACCGUACCCUGCGAAUAAGGAUCGGCUAACUACGUGCCAGCAGCCGCGGUAAUACGUAGGACCCGAGCGUUGUCCGGAAUCACUGGGUGUAAGGGCGUGUAGGUGGGGCUCUCAGUCGGGGGUGAAAUCCUGCGGCUUAACCGCAGAACUGCUUCCGAUACUGGAGCUCUUGAGUACGGCAGAGGGAGAUGGAAUUCAUGGUGUAGCGGUGAAAUGUGUAGAUAUCAUGAAGAACACCGGUUGCGAAGGCGGUCUCCUGGUCCGUUACUGACACUGAGGCGCGAAAGCGUGGGGAGCAAACAGGAUUAGAUACCCUGGUAGUCCACGCCUUAAACGAUGGGUACUCGGUGCUGGGCCGCGAGGUUCAGUGCCAAAGCUAACGCAUUAAGUACCCCACCUGGGGAGUAC